CACGUAGGGGGCGAGCGUUGUCCGGAUUUAUUGGGCGUAAAGAGCUCGUAGGCGGUUUGUCGCGUCUGCCGUGAAAGUCCGGGGCUCAACUCCGGAUCUGCGGUGGGUACGGGCAGACUAGAGUGAUGUAGGGGAGACUGGAAUUCCUGGUGUAGCGGUGAAAUGCGCAGAUAUCAGGAGGAACACCGAUGGCGAAGGCAGAUCUCUGGGCCACUACUGACGCUGAGAAGCGAAAGCAUGGGGAGCGAACAGG
rnacentral:rRNA from 1 species